CUUUUGUAUGUGCAUGUCAUCAGAUUAAUACGGACUGUUUCUCUCGAAAGGUUAAUUUCAUCUGGUACAACAUAGGAGCCUCUAUACAGGACUGGAAAUGUUAGUGUAAUUCCAGUAUCUAUCUGCUGCUCUCCUCGUAUUGGAUUACCUUGCACAGGCUGGAUUCCAUCACUAAGGUGGGACGUUUCGCAGAGACCCCUGAAUAAAGGCAUGAAUUGACCCUGCCAGCAUGCACAGCCAUGGAUUAUAGACUUUGAUAGGCAUUCACCGUCUGACCUGGAAGGGCAUGAAGCUUCCUCUCUGAACAGCUGAAGAAAAUCACAAUUUU
rnacentral:lncRNA from 1 species